UCCCUGGUGGUCCAGUGGUUAAGACUCUGCGCUGCCAAUGCAGGGGACACAGGUUCAAUCCCUGGUUGGGGAA
rnacentral:tRNA from 1 species